GUCUGCAACCCGACUCCACGAAGUUGGAUUCGCUAGUAAUCGCGCAUCAGCCAUGGCGCGGUGAAUACGUUCCCGGGCCUUGUACACACCGCCCGUCAAGCCAUGGGAGCCGGGGGGCGCCUGAAGUCCGGGACCGCGAGGACCGGCCUAGGGCGAAACUGGUAACUGGGGCUAAGUCGUAACAAGGUACC
rnacentral:rRNA from 1 species